rnacentral:rRNA from 1 species
UGGGGAAUAUUGCACAAUGGAGGGAACUCUGAUGCAGCGACGCCGCGUGAACGAAGAAGGCUUUCGAGUCGUAAAGUUCUUUUAUAUGGAAGAUAAUGACGGUACCAUAAGAAGAAGCCCCGGCUAACUACGUGCCAGCAGCCGCGGUAAUACGUAGGGGGCUAGCGUUGUCCGGAAUCACUGGGCGUAAAGGGUUCGCAGGCGGAAAUGCAAGUCAGGUGUAAAAGGCAGUAGCUUAACUACUGUAAGCAUUUGAAACUGCAUAUCUUGAGAAGAGUAGAGGUAAGUGGAAUUUUUAGUGUAGCGGUGAAAUGCGUAGAUAUUAAAAAGAAUACCGGUGGCGAAGGCGACUUACUGGGCUCAUUCUGACGCUGAGGAACGAAAGCGUGGGUAGCAAACAGG